rnacentral:lncRNA from 1 species
AGCCCACCAUUUUCACCCAGGCCUUGCCAGGCUUAUCAGUUCCCCAGGCAUUGUCUGUUACUAAAUAAAUGAAUGCAGCAUUUAUCUUCACCCCUUAGCUUGAUUGACGAGUAUUUAGUGUUUUCCACAAGGAGCAUCUCCCAGCAGAGCAGUAUCUCCUUGCUGACUCUGGUGUGACCAUUCUGCCUCUACUGUGAUGUGGUAGUCUUCAAACUUUAUCUCCAGACUGUGUCAGUGCACCUGGUGGUGCAAUCAGGGUUAGAUUGCCUUUCCAAAAUUUAUGUGUCUUUAAAAAAAUAAUAAAGCACCACCUAUUGACUAGUCCUCUAAACAUAGUACUCUAGUCUAGGACUUUACUGUCCUUCCUAUUGUGACGUGUGUUCAGACUUGUUUGUCCAGUGCUAGAUAACAAUAUGUGAAUGCACACUGAUACAACUGAGAAAAUCUCUGCUCUUCUGAAGACAUAAACUACUUUUCAUAGGACUCAAACUUGUGUUUACUGUAUUCAAAUGAAAGUAUUUCUGAAAAUUGCUGAUGACUGCAUCUGUUUGAAUUCAUCAAUUCACUACCACUCCGAACAUUUGAUAAACAAAUACCCUUGAACUGAAAUUUCCCACGCCUGCAGUGUAAUUACAUUCUCCACUACUGCAUUUGUUUCCCCUUUAAAAAAAGGGGGGCAGGCACACUGAGUAGACUGUGGCAGAAUCACAUUUGGCAUUUGGUAUUAAUAUACAGUACAAAAAGGUCCAUUGACUCAUUGGGUGACUCAGAAGGCAGUAGAGGAGGGCUUUUUGGCUAUGCAGAAAUGUCAGUGGUUCAACAUUAGAUCAGAAAUUUCUUUAACACGUUGUGAGGGACAGUUAGUUGUUUCAUCUGAUGUUAAAGUGCAAGCAAAGCGAGUCUAGCAAGGUGCGGUGAGGAAGUGUGUGUCACAUGCUCCUCCACAGGAAACGAGACGGGAGCUGCUGGGGAAGUUCAGAACUGGGUGACCUCCAACAGAUUCAAACAGCACAGGAUUGUGCAAUUUGGGAAAUGUUAUUGCAAUUUAAUUAACUUCAGGAAGUGUAUUCUGGACUGAAUUGACCAGACCUCCUAUUCUAUGCAAGCAUCUCCUGCUGGUAACCAGGUACAGAGGCUGUGGGGUUUGCACUGGGGGGUGGCAGUCAUGGUGUGAGCAGCAGCACAGGAAGCUCCUCU